rnacentral:rRNA from 1 species
AUUGCUCUUAUUCCUAAGAAAUUGGUCUCACAAAUCCUUUCUGACUAUCGACCUAUCAGCCUUUGCAAUGUCAUUUAUAAGAUCAUUUCCAAAACCUUGGCCAACAGAUUGAAGCCUCACCUUCCUGUCUAUAUUGAUCCUUCCCAACAAGCCUUCACUGAGGGUAGACAGAUAUCCAAUAAUAUCAUCUUA